rnacentral:rRNA from 1 species
GGAAUCUUAGACAAUGGGGGAAACCCUGAUCUAGCCAUGCCGCGUGAGUGACGAAGGCCCUAGGGUCGUAAAGCUCUUUCGCCAGGGAAGAUAAUGACGGUACCUGGUAAAGAAGCCCCGGCGAACUCCGUGCCAGCAGCCGCGGUAAUACGGAGGGGGCUAGCGUUGUUCGGAAUUACUGGGCGUAAAGCGCGCGUAGGCGGAUUGGAAAGUUGGGGGUGAAAUCCCGGGGCUCAACCCCGGAACGGCCUCCAAAACUAUCAGUCUUGAGUUCGGGAGAGGUGAGUGGAAUUGCGAGUGUAGAGGUGAAAUUCGUAGAUAUUCGCAGGAACACCAGUGGCGAAGGCGGCUCACUGGCUCGAUACUGACGCUGAGGUGCGAAAGUGUGGGGAGC